rnacentral:tRNA from 2 species
GGGCGGUUAGCUCAGCCGGUUAGAGCGCCUGCCUUACAAGCAGGAGGUCCACGGUUCGAUCCCGUGACCGCCCACCA